CUCAUUUUAACUCGGCCAAAUACAUAGUAACAUACAUAAGAAGAUUUUACUUAUAUUUACCGAACUAUUUGACACGGUCGCGUCAACUGUGUUUACGAGUGUCUUGUGUUCAGAUUGUUUUAAGUGAUAAUUUAACAAUAUUUUUCCAAAUAAAUGGAAAGAAACUUUUAUUUAUAUCAAAUAAUUGAGUGUCUCGACUGUGUGACAUUAUGUCUUGUGUGGUAUGGGGCUGCAGCUCACAUUCAGGAAGAAAAGAAAAUAGCCAACAACUUCUGUCGUUUCAUCGAUAUUAAAUCCAAAAGUGUCGACUGGAUUUACAUGAAAAGUCAGUUCAAGAAGACGAGAUGAAAAAUUUAAAAGAAAAGCUGAACAAGUCCCGCCUCAAGAUCAAACGACUUAAUGAAAAAAAAAAAAACAAUGUGACAGGGUGUCACAAAGACAGUUUCUAAGCAAAUUGACACUGUUUAGAAAUUAAUAAAUUUGUAUUUAUUGUAAAUAUAAUGUACAUAAUUAAUAACGUGUGAAAUAAAUACUUGCUAAUGAUCAGAUUUACGAUCUAAUUUAUAUUUCAUUUUACCUCCUUUUCUUAUUUACUC